GCCUGGGGCAAAAUAUUUCGUUCACAAUCAGUUGUUUCCCCUUCAAUAUUAUGUUUCCGGUUUCGGAUUUUAUCAGGGAAGCGUGUGAAGUUUACUUUUGUUUAUCUAACUUUAGUUCAACGAUGAAGGGAUCUGAGACUUGUAAUACUGUUUAGUGAUUUAAUAAUAUUCCUUGUUCCUUUGAUGGUUCAUUCCACUACAGCUGGUUCAUAUACCCUACAACAGCCAGGAAAAUGGUCUGUUUACUUUAAGAUCUCAAGAAAAUGUAACAUACUUUGGAUGUGCUUUGAGGAAUCAGGAAGGCAAGUGUUUCCUCUUGUUUAUGAAAGCAACUCAGUUGGUUAAGGGUCAGACAACUUGUGAGCAUGGUACAUCACUACCUGUAUUGGUAUUCCAUUUUGACAAUGCUGCUAGCUAGAAUAGAAAUAACAUCUUGCUGUGAAGAGUUUUACUAGGAUAUCACAGAUCGAUUGAAUAUUCAACAAUGAUCACAGACCAUGCAAAGUUUGAAUCUGACUUGCACUUUUGAAUUUAGAAGAAUCUGUGGAGGAGGGUGAAUGCUGAGGCCUUUAAUAAUACAUGAUAUUGCUGACACAGUGUGUCAGUCAUCAAAGAAAUGUCAUAACAACACAGUUGGUCAACAAUGAUUUAAAUCCUGUCACAUUCUACCAGUGGAGAAAUAUCUUAUCACAAUAUUUUAAACUUUUGAAGAAGAUAACCAAGUAUUACCACUUUAUCAUGCCUGCAGAAACACCUGGAUUGUUAGUCUUAAAAGUGACAGUCCAGUUAACUUACUGAAAUCUACUCCCCCUUGACAAACGAAUAUUAUUGACAUGGAAUGACAGAAGCUUGACAAUGGUACCUGUACGAACUCAUAAGAUAAUAGUAUUUGUCUGAAAAGUCAAAGGAUUCUGUUUGUCCCAAACCACUUGAACUGAAAUUGGAUUGACCAGGAUUGUUCUGAGAACUGAAAAAAGGAAGUGAAUAUAAAAGAUAGAAAUUGUUGUUGAAUUCAAACGUUUUAAUAUACAACACUUUAGCCUGUUUUGCUGUUCAUAUAAAUGUGUUUAGCUGUUUAGGUUAAACAUCAAGUAAAGGUUGUAGUUUCAGUUACCUACAUUAAAGUAUUGGCUGGAAAUAAAUAUUUACUUUUCACCAGAGCUUGUAGCAGUGUAACCUUCAUCAAAAGUUAAGCUGUUGUGUUAAUUAUUGAAGUAUUUUUAGAAAAAGGAAUUUAGUAUGUAUGUUGCCAUGGUAACAUAAUUCAAAUUAUAUUUCAUUGAAAUUAUGGAUAAAUUUCAGUAAGGGAUCUACAGUAUAUAAUGUAAUGGUAAAAGAAUGUUCACUUUCUUCAGUAUUGUCAGUUAUAACUAGCCAGUGAAAAAACAGAUUAUGAGGAAAGGGAUGACUGAAAUGUUUAUUCUUACGAUAACUACUUUUGUUACAGAACAUGACUGUUUUAAUGUUUUUAUGUGAAAUUUUCAGAUUUCUUUCCUGAAUACUUGUACUUUCAAAUAUUUAACAUAUUAGAAAUACCUUUUAAAAUAAGCUCUUCCUUUUAAGUAUUAUUAUAGGAAAAGGAAUUUAAAACAUAUGUCGCCAUGGUAACACAAUUUUCUUAG